rnacentral:rRNA from 1 species
GACGAACGCUGGCGGCGUGCUUAACACAUGCAAGUCGAACGGAAAGGCCCUGCUUUUGUGGGGGGCUCGAGUGGCGAACGGAUGAGUAACACGUGAGUAACCUGCCCUUGACUUUGGGAUAACUUCAGGAAACUGGGGCUAAUACCGGAUAGGAGCUCCUGCUGCAUGGUGGGGGUUGGAAAGUUUCGGCGGUUGGGGAUGGACUCGCGGCUUAUCAGCUUGUUGGUGGGGUAGUGGCUGAACCAGGCUUUGACGGGUAGCCGGCCUGAGAGGGUGACCGGCCACAUUGGGACUGAGAUACGGCCCAGACUCCUACGGGAGGCAGCAGUGGGGAAUAGUGCACAAUGGGCGGAAGCCUGAUGCAGCAACGCCGCGUGCGGGAUGACGGCCUUCGGGUUGUAAACCGCUUUCGCCUGUGACGAAGCGUGAGUGACGGUAAUGGGUAAAGAAGCACCGGCUAACUACGUG